ACGCUGGCGGCGCGCCUAACACAUGCAAGUCGAACGAGCGAGAGAGAGCUUGCUUUCUCGAGCGAGUGGCGAACGGGUGAGUAACGCGUGAGGAACCUGCCUCAAAGAGGGGGACAACAGUUGGAAACGACUGCUAAUACCGCAUAAGCGCACAGCAUCGCAUGAUGCAGUGUGAAAAACUCCGGUGGUACAGGAUGGACCCGCGUCUGAUUAGCUAGUUGGUGAGGUAACGGCUUACCAAGGCAACGAUCAGUAGCCGACUUGAGAGAGUGAUCGGCCACAUUGGGACUGAGACACGGCCCAAACUCCUACGGGAGGCAGCAGUGGGGAAUAUUGCACAAUGGGGGAAACCCUGAUGCAGCGACGCCGCGUGAAGGAAGAAGUAUUUCGGUAUGUAAACUUCUAUCAGCAAGGAAGAAAAUGACGGUACUUGACUAAGAAGCCCCGGCUAAAUACGUG
rnacentral:rRNA from 1 species